rnacentral:lncRNA from 13 species
UAAGGUUCCCCACUAAACUCAUUUGGUUAUGAUUUAGAAUCAUGACGCCAACAGCGUCUUGUAAUUUCCAUAGAACUGUGCUGUUAUAAUAACGUCUGUUAUACAAUGUAUUUGGAGAAUGAGAAAUAAAGAAAUAAUUCAUUCUUUUAUUUUUGUAUUUUCUUGAAAGAGAACUGUUAUUUAGGGUAACUUAUAUAUUGGGAGUUGAAUCAGUCAAGCAACUAGCGAGGAGUGAAAAAAAACAAACCCGUGUCUGACAGGCGGGCUGUGUCAAACGUCUCACAAACCACACCCUCCCUAUGUUGUACCUUCCCUAAAACAUUUUGUCGUAGUGCGACAGUGACAAAUGUCAACUGGUAUGUUAUGUGGGAAAGGGCAUGGAGGAGGGAGAGUUCUCUGCGAUGAUCGAUUCCCUGGGUCAUUUCAUGUGAAUCUGAGCUAUUGCGGUUCAAGCAGGCAGAAAUUCGCUCGUUAUGACGUAGCGUUGCGAUAAAGCCGCUCUCGUUACACUAAUAGGGACAAUAUUGUAGAUCACGAAAACGUCUAUCAUACACGUGAGAUUUCAAUACCGGUCGAUGUCAUAACGCGGGAGGUUGUCUUCUCUCGAAUGAGUCAUUGAUCGUAUUUUUUUUGCGAUAUUCCUACCUUGAGAAAUGUGCAAUUUAAUUUAACAGAGGGUCUAACACGUUUAUCCUAUUUGUCUGCUUCUCCAGUCCAGGGUGCCAUUGUGAAUUUCAGACUCCACUCUGUGAGGCACAUCGAUCUGCAGGUUGAACAUGGUAGAGGCUUCGGGUCGAGAUUUCUGGAACCCUCCUUGCAACAGCUAAAGGUUCAAAGCUUCUGCACGUUUUCUCCGAAUCUUCAAAGGCCUUUUUCACUAAAGUUAGUUCCAUUAUCUGGUGACCUAAUUUAGCUUUUAUAGCCCGGGUGGUGUCUCCCCUCCUCUGCCCCACGCCCAUAUUCCCUUCCCCCACCCCUAUCUUCCCCUCUCUCCCCCCUCGAUCUCCCCUCCCUCUCACACUCAAAUCAAAUUGUAUUGGUCGCACAUAAAUAUUUAGCAGAUGUUAUUGCGGGUGUAGGGAAAUGCUUGUGUUCCUAGCUCCAGCAGUGUAGUAGUUUCUAACAUUUCACAACAAUACACACAUCUAAAAGUAAACGAAUGGAAUUAAGAAAUAUAGAAAUAUUAGGAUGAGCAAUGUUGGCGUGGCAUUGACUAGAAUACAGUAUAUACAUCUGAAAUGAGUUAAGCAGUAUGUAAACAUUAAAGUGACCACAUAGGCAUCAGCCUCUAAGGUGCAGGGUUGGUAGCCAGCUAGUGACAGUGGCUAAGGUUCAGGGCAGGGUACAGCCCCUCCUUUCCCCUGACCCACCCUUCUUCUCUCCCCCACCUCGCUCCCCUCCCCCAUCCUUCUUCCCUAGACAACCCCUCUUCCCUACACCAUUCUAGUUUCAUAAUUUCAACCUAUCCCUGACUACUAUCAACCUACCAUUUUGAAAGUUAACCCCACAAAACAAAUUUCGUUAUGAUUUAGAAUCAGGAUGCGUCUUGUAAUUUCC